rnacentral:ncRNA from 2 species
AAAUGAUGUCGGGGGAGUCUCGCGUAAGAGACUGAGAGGCUGCGUGCGUAUGACGCCGUGCAGCGACCCUUUGAACCUGACCCAGUUAAUACUGGCGUAGGAAGACGGGUCGCCUGUGAG